rnacentral:rRNA from 1 species
GAAUAGUGGACAAUGGGCGCAAGCCUGAACCAGCCAUGCCGCGUGAGUGAUGAAGGCNNNAGGGUNGNAAAGCUCUUUCACCGNUGNNGAUAAUGACGGUAGUCGGAGAAGAAGCCCCGGCUAACUUCGUGACAGCAGCCGCGGUAAUACGAAGGGGGCUAGCGUUGUUCGGGUUUACUGGGCGUAAAGCGCACGUAGGCGGAUUGGUCAGUUAGAGGUGAAAUCCCGAAGCUCAACUUCGGAACUGCCUUUAAUACUGCCAGUCUCGAGUCCGGAAGAGGUAAGUGGAACUCCUAGUGUAGAGGUGGAAUUCGUAGAUAUUAGGAAGAACACCAGUGGCGAAGGCGGCUUACUGGUCCGGAACUGACGCUGAGGUGCGAAAGCGUGGGGAGCAAACA